UCGGAAUCAGAGCCGGCAGGAAUCUCCACCAUGGCCUGGGCCCCUCUCCUGCUCACCCUCCUCACUCUCUGCCCAGGGUCCUGGGCACAGUCUAGACUGACACAGGAAGCCCCAGUGUCAGGGUCUGUGGGAGAGAAGGUCACCCUGUCCUGCACUGGAAACAGCAACAAUGUUGGAAGUUAUGCUGUGGGCUGGUACCAGCAGAUUUCUCGUGGUGCCCCCAAAACUGUGAUGCUUGGCACAUCUCGGCCCUCAGGGAUCCCUGAUCGCUUCUCUGGCUCCAAGUCUGGAAACACGGCCUCCCUGACCAUCUCAGGCCUUCAGGCCGAGGACGAGGCUGACUAUUACUGUUCAGCAUGGGACUACAGCCUGAGUGCUGACACAGCGUUCCUGACUCAUGGGGAACUGAGACAAAAACCUGCCCCUGCUCCCCUGUGA